AGCACUGUUCGUGAAACCCCAACACUGGAAAACAACCAAGUAUCCAUCCGCAGUGCGAUGAAUAAAUAAAGAGCAAUAUAGUCACGCGGGAUGGUGAUGACACAGCAAUGAGGACAGAAGAGCCACCACUGCAUGCCACAGCUGUCUCUGCAGCUGGCUGUCUCCGACCACGUCACUCACGCGAUGAAUGGGGACCAAGCCCCCACUUGUCCCUGACACUUGUCCAGGUACCAGCAGGACGCCAGCGGACAGGGCCUGGUGUGGAGCACCCCAACAUCGCCCUUGGAACCAGCCGAAGACCAGAAGCAGCCCCCACAGACACUCAAGUGUAGUCGCCUUGGACUUUGAGGCAAAAGAAUUUCAAGUGUAUGCAAGAUUCAUCCUUCGACUCUGUGAGACAAGAACCCUGCACCCCACAACACUAGGAGGGUACAAAACUCCCACCAUCGAGGCCUCCUGACAUCCACCCAGCCCUGGAGUCUGCAUCGGGGGAGCUCAGGACCCUGGCGCGGUAUCAGGGGCAGACCCGCUGGUGGCACGCAGGACGAGUCAAACCUGCUGAGCUCUGAAUUCUCCUGUUGCUCAGGAGCCUUCUCU